rnacentral:lncRNA from 1 species
AUUUAAGUUCAAUUUUGAACUGUUAAUGUGAAUAAAACCAGAUGUUAAACUUAUAUAAAUUGUUGGAAAAAAAAUACAUCAAGGGUAUAUAUGAUUUCUAAAAAAGGCAUGUGUCCAUACUUUAGGUCAUAAUCACAUUGAGUUUAUGCUUAUACAUACUAUAAUAGAUAUGAUAAUGUGCAAUGUAUUCAUUGAUUUUUGUGAAGUAGUUUCAUCAGUACCAUGUCUGAUUGAUUGUAUUGUGCUUUGAAUCAUUCCAUUUGUCAUUUAUGAUUGACAUGAUUAAACUAGUCAGUUAAGCUUGGCUUUAAUUUUUUACCAGCUUACUCUUGAGUCACUUCAGAUCAAACAGUUUUUCACUCAAAACUAGCUUACUGAAUCAUACAAACUAGUAUAAGCUGUUAAGCCUGUCAUUACACAAAGUUUACUCGAGUCACAUACUGAUCACUAGUUCUUGUAGUUUUCAUCAGCAGCUGAAUAAAUAACAGCUUUGAAACUAGUUUUUAGGGGGUUUUUUUCUUAAAAAGGGACGUAUCUUUUCAAAAAAUCUUGUUAUUAUUGUAAAUCAGGUAUUGUUAUGAAAAAAUAUAAUGAAUUGAAAGUUUGCAACUGGGUAUUAGAAAAAAUGUUGGUUCAUUUAAUGAACUAAAUUAGCUUGUGUUUUAUGUUGAAGUCGUCUGAUACUGAAAGUGCCUUAUUUUGGAAGAGUUUAAAUUAAGCAAUUUCAAAGACACCCCCUGUCUUUUAGGUUUUAUUUUCACUUUUUUUUUCCCUGAUUCUUCUCUUUUUAAAAUGGUUUGCUGUUGCUGACAAUUUCAUGAUUUGUCUAAAUUUCAAAGUUUGUGGACGGAACUUUCCUGGUAACAAUAUGUGUUAUCAUAAAAUCUCAUCAAAGAUACCAUCUUGACCAUUGUCACAUGAUAAAAUAGAUGACAGGAUAAUUAUUGUGUAUCUUUAUGUAUUUGUGCAUCAUUAUGUAACUUUGUGUAUCUUUAUGUUACAAUGUGCAUCUUGUGUGACUGUGUGUAUCUUUAUGUGACUAUGUAUCUUGUGCGACUUUGUGUAUCUUUGUGUGACUGUGUAUCUUCCUGUGACUCAGUAUGCUGCAGUGAAAUUUAUAUCUAUUGAAAACUAAUCAAAUACUAUUAUUUUUGUUCAUGGCAAAUUUUAUUUAUGCAAGCUGUAUUUUAUGGCUGUUUUAUAUCACACUUUAUCAUAAUGUUAUUGUUUGUACAAAUGAUUUUUAUUCUAGUCUGGUUAAUAUUGUUUUAUUUACAAAGAUGUUUUAAGGGUACUUACAAAUUCUGAAGUCUUUCUUUCAAAUAACUUUACAAUAAUUUAUAUGACAAUUAUCCAGCAGUAAAUGCUAUCAUUGAGAUUUGAUUAAAUCUUUCAUUGAGUUUAAAAGGUGCUAGAAGUUUACAGUAAUGUGCUGCUUGAAUCUACCAAACAUCUUAAAAAAUGUGUCUUUGUGAGAAAUUAAUUUUUCUAUGCAUGAAUAAGAAUAUUAAGAUACUGUAAAUUCAGUUAUUAUAACAAGACAAUUAUUAAUGUGAAUAAUGCACUAGGAAAAUAUUACAAUGAUAAAAACUUGCAUUCUGAUAUUUAUACUUAUAUCGAGUAUAAGGAUUUUUCAACAAUCACAAUACAUAAUUUUACCUUUUUAUCCAUUCUUCAAAAAUCACAAUAAUAAUAAAUAAAUGCAAUAAUUUCUGAAUAUGAAGAUACAUGAUUCAAUGGAAUCACAAUCAAUAGACACUAACAUUAGAUAUUACUUUGCUUAAAUUUCUGUCGAUUCAGUUUAAUUGUUUUCAUUACAAUGAUUAGGAAAGCAGAUUUGUUCCCAAUGAUUACAUGGAAAUCUAAUAUGUUCAAUUGUACAUGACAAUCUUCUCAAAAAAAGUAAAGCAUAGAAAUGAAAACAAGUGUUCUUUUAAAAUAAAAACUAAAAGCCUUCAUUCUUUUUCUUUAUAACUUUUAAAUAUAAUAAAGAACUUAUGUCAUAAUUUUUUACGUCGUCAUGAAUGUCACACCAAACAGUUGUGAUAUAUAUAGACACACGUGUCAAGUGCUUUCAGAAAUGUGUAAUUGUAGUGGAAACAGGAUGUUCAGAAAUCUGUUUGUAAUAUCUAGAAAGUUAGAUGUAUAAUUAAAAAUGUUAAAUAUUCGUUGUCUUGUUUAUUAAAAAAUAAUGUGAAGCAAUUUUAAAUAUAUCUUCCAAUGUAAUGGCUAUCAAUUCAUGCCUGAAAAAAAACAUGAUCAAAUCCCUAGAAUUAUAAGAAUAGAAUUUGAAUGAUGACAUCUGUUAUAAUUUUCUGGUACAAUAAAAAUAACUUACAAGAAAAAUGGAAUGGAUAGAAUUUUUAUAUUUCAUCUUUUUCAAUACAUUUUGCACAUGCAUCUUUAACAUUGCUGACUUGAUGUAGUCUUUUAGUUGGUUACACAUUUAGUAAAUUGAUCAGUUUGGUUUAUUAAUACAAACUGCAAUUUAUUAUUAUCUGAAUGCCUUGGCUGAAAACAAACUUUUAGAGAGUGCUGUCACAAUAUUUUGAUGUUAAUUGUUAUUGAUUAAGUUAUUUGUUUUUAUAUAUCAAUAAUUUGUUAUUUAUAUGUUUCCAUUUUUGUUUUGUUUUGAAUAUUAGAGCAUGCAUCAAGUCAAAUAUCACAACAGCAUUUUUCUGAACUGUAUAUUUGUUUCAUAUAUUAUCUAAAUAGGAAAAUUCUUAAUGUUUUUAAUUCUAUUUGACAGUUGAUGAAAAGGAAUUCUUGCUUCAUAGGUAAAACAUUACUGCAAAUGUGCAUGCAAGUUGUAAGGUUACUUUUGGAAAACUAUUCCCUAAUAUAUUGCUGCUGAUUAAAUGGAUUUAUGCACAGUUUAUUUUAUUUGUUUGGUCUGUUUUUUGGGCCAAAUGUCUCUUACAUGAGUGACGUCUAAUAAUUAUGUGGACCAGUUUGGAUAUUCUCCAAAUUUUUUUUUUCUUCAUACAAAUCAAUCCAAUUGAUGUAGAGCUUCUGUAUAUGUGAACAAAUUACACAUGAAACUGUGGGUUAUUAUGAAAUUUUGUCUUAAUUUCCAUAUCACUGUUAGGAUUUUAGAAAGCUUACUCAUUUUCAAAAAGCAAAGUUAUUAUGUUAUAAAAUUUGUUUAUUUGUUUAAAAAUCUAUACUUAUCAUGAACAUUGUACUUUUGUGUUCGUUGUCUCUGCCACACUAAACAUUAUGCAAUUUUAUAUGUACUGUAUUUAUGUGAUACCUAUGUAUAUAUUAGCUUUAUGUACACAUUGUACAAAGAUUUGUACAUAUAUAUACAUGUCAGAAAUUAAAAGAAAGG